UUAAACCCGUAAUCGAAAAAAAAAACUUGAUUGCAAUUUUCAUACUGUAAUCAAUUACCAACUAAUUUAGCUGUCCAAUCCCACUUUGCUUACAAUAGAUAUCAAGAGGCAGGAGGGAUUUGUUUUAGAUUUGGUCAACGAUGUUAUGGAUGGAAAAACAUUUAGUUGUUGCUACAAAUCUCUUAAAACUAAUCAUUAGAACUAUAUUUUUCCUCAAGAGCCUGCUUGCUUUUAGUGAAGUAGCUAGAUUCGUUGUGUGUUCUAUAUAUCUAUAUAUAUAUAUAUAUAUAUAUAUAUAUAUAUAGCUAGAGAGAGAGAGAGAGAGAGAGAGAGAGAGAGAAAGGGAUUUUUGAAAAUUAAUAAUUAUAAUAAAUAAAAGAGAAUAUAUGCUUCAAUUCACGUGCCCUUAAUUCUAUAAUUAAUUGUUUAAUAGAUUCAUUAAUCUUUAAUUGGAUGACCUCAUUGUCAGGUCUUUAUCCAACUUGCAAUGGGUAUUAAUUUUAACGAGUCUUAAUCAAACUGGUGUAGUACAACUGUUAGAUUUCCUUAUUUUUAUUUUAACAAAUGGAAGCAAGUGAAUAUAUGCAAAGCGCACAAAAGAAAUUGGAAGCAAAUCAACAUAUAUUGAUUAUUAGGGUUUUGUUGGUUUUGUAGAGGGUCCCUCAUCAACCAUGUUUUGUAUUGUAUGUAAUGUACAGCUCAAUCCCCUUUUCUUUUCAAAUGAAAGUUGAAGUUAGAAGAUGCAUGUCAAAAUCAUUACCUACUGCUACUAGUCUUACUUAAUUAUUGUUAAUCUUUUUUUUUUUUUUUUUUUUUUACAAGUAUUGUUAAUCUUUCUGCUUUCAAUAAGGUUACAAAAACUUGAAUGCCAAUGAAAAAUGAAAUUAAAGAAAACGAAGAUAGUUAACAUUCUAUACAUAGCUUUAAUUUUCUAGGAUGGUUUGGUAAAUAAAAGAAUUAUUGCGAUUCAGAAAUUCUAUACUCUUGCAUGCAGCAUAGUCUCUCGGUUUGGAGAAAUUCUACAAUAUAUCUGUGAAGUAUCAUAUUAGUCAUACAACAAAUAAAUGAUGUUAGGACAGUACUACCUCUUAUAUAUUAUAGAAUCCCUCAUGAUCUUUAAUUUGUUAUCGAAUCCUUAAAUUGAUCCACAAAAAAAAACUGAAUGUGUUAAAGGUCUUCUCAAUAUUAAUUAGUAGUUUACUUCAAAUAGCCUAAUCAAGAAUGAUAGCUAAAUGAUCAACUUGGCUAAUAAUCAUUUUAAGGAACUCAUUGGAAUCUUCAAUGUCAAUGGUCCAGGCCGCAGCAUGCAGCUGAUGGAAUGAAUGAUUCGCCUGCAAAUCGUAAUCUUCUUCUAUGCUCAACAACUCAUAUUGCCAUUAAUUGGAGAGAAUUGUUUAUCACCAGCCAUUUAAUUUAAUGAAUUUAUAAAGAAAAUGAGGUGCCGGGAUAUGUGCAAAGGGCGAUCCAAUUAACUUUAAGCUUUCAAGUUGUGCAUAAUUAAAUCGUUGAACUAAUCUUUUUCUCGCAUCUCCUACAGAAGAAAGAAUAAAACCUAAUCAAAUUUAUGGUUUAAUUAUUUCAUUAUUAGUGCUCCCAUCGUUAAUUGAUUUGGAUAUAAACUAAUUAUAUCCAAUAUUCGAAUUGAUGAGAUUUAAACCACACGUCUGGCAUGCACAUCAAUAACAAAUAUCUGGUUGUGCCUAAAGAAUAUCCACUUGCAUAAUGAAACUAUAUGUCUCUGAUUUUUUUCACCUUUUUCACUAAUUAUGAGCUGUUCGCUCAAUUCGUAAGAACUGUUAAAGCUUCCCAAACGACUGUAAAUCUAAAAACAGCCUUAAUUUCACGUUAAAUGGAAUACAAUAAUAUGUAUAGCUUGUGCUUUUAGUGGGGCAAGUGGGAAGCUAGACCAGUGUAAUCCUCUAAAUGGGAACAUUGACAUGGUUAAUGUGAUAAAAUAAGGUGAUUCAAAGGUAAUAAAUUUUCUCGUUCUUUUAUUAUCAAUAUUUUUCUGUUCUAAAUAAAUUAUGAUGCAAAUCUUCAAGGUUCU
rnacentral:lncRNA from 1 species